UUUCGGUGGAUCUUUUAUAAAAACGGGGGAACCAAACGGGAAUGACAUUCGAAAGAUUGUUUAUUCCAAGGGGUGAAUUUCCGGGUCGUCAGACUGGGAAUAGGGCAACUCUCUCUUGCCCGAAUCCGACAGCUAACCUCGUAAGCGUAUAUAGGGAGA
rnacentral:sRNA from 1 species